rnacentral:rRNA from 1 species
AACGAACGCUGGCGGCAUGCCUAACACAUGCAAGUCGAACGAGACCUUCGGGUCUAGUGGCGCAUGGGUGCGUAACGCGUGGGAACCUGCCCUUAGGUUCGGAAUAACUCCCCGAAAGGGGUGCUAAUACCGGAUAAUGUCUUCGGACCAAAGAUUUAUCGCCUUUGGAUGGGCCCGCGUUGGAUUAGCUAGUUGGUAGGGUAAAAGCCUACCAAGGCGACGAUCCAUAGCUGGUCUGAGAGGAUGAUCAGCCACACUGGGACUGAGACACGGCCCAGACUCCUACGGGAGGCAGCAGUGGGGAAUAUUGGACAAUGGGCGAAAGCCUGAUCCAGCAAUGCCGCGUGAGUGAUGAAGGCCUUAGGGUUGUAAAGCUCUUUUACCCGGGAUGAUAAUGGCAGUACCGGGAGAAUAAGCUCCGGCUAACUCCGUG